AUUGAACGCUGGCGGCAGGCCUAACACAUGCAAGUCGAACGAGUGGCGGACGGGUGAGUAAUGUCUGGGAAACUGCCUGAUGGAGGGGGUUAACUACUGGAAACGGUAGCUAAUACCGCAUACCAUCAGAUGUGCCCAGAUGGGAUGAGCUAGUUGGUGGGGUAACGGCUCACCAAGGCGACGAUCCCUAGCUGGUCUGAGAGGAUGAACGGCCACCCUGGAACUUAGACACGGUCCAGACGCCUACGUGAGGCAGCAGUGGGGAAGAUUGCACAAUUGGAGCAAGCCUGAUGCAGCCAUGCCGCGUGUAUGAAGAAGGCCUUCGGGUUUUAAAGUACUUUCAGUGGGGAGGCGUUACCCGCAGAAGAAGCACCGGCUAACUCCGUGCCAGCCGCCGCGGUAAUAC
rnacentral:rRNA from 1 species